rnacentral:misc_RNA from 1 species
GAGAAGAUGAUUGUGAAAUAACUAGGCCACCGCAUUUCAACUUAUGGAGCAGCCAUAGACUCGGGUAAAGCCUUCAGUGUGGUUAAUUAGCCUCAACCCAAAACUUUAAAAGCAGUCCAUGGGUUCUUGCGGUUAACAGGCUAUUAAUGCUGGCUUAUAAAAGGAUAUAGCCAAUUGGCCUAGUCAUUAAUCCAAUUGAAGCCUAUGGGAAAUUCAGUGUUAUCAAGGCGAAAGG